rnacentral:rRNA from 1 species
GAUGAACGCUGGCGGCGUGCAUAAUACAUGCAAGUCGAGCGAACAGACGAGGAGCUUGCUCCUCUGACGUUAGCGGCGGACGGGUGAGUAACACGUGGAUAACCUACCUAUAAGACUGGGAUAACUUCGGGAAACCGGAGCUAAUACCGGGUAAUAUAUUGAACCGCAUGGUUCAAUAGUGAAAGACGGUUUUGCUGUCACUUAUAGAUGGAUCCGCGCCGCAUUAGCUAGUUGGUAAGGUGACGGCUUACCAAGGCAACGAUGCGUAGCCGACCUGAGAGGGUGAUCGGCCACACUGGAACUGAGACACGGUCCAGACUCCUACGGGAGGCAGCAGUAGGGAAUCUUCCGCAAUGGGCGAAAGCUUGACGGAGCAACGCCGCGUGAGUGAUGAAGGUCUUCGGAUCGUAAAACUCUGUUAUUAGGGAAGAACAAAUGUGUAAGUAACUAUGCACGUCUUGACGGUACCUAAUCAGAAAGCCACGGCUAACUACGUG